rnacentral:rRNA from 1 species
UGGGGAAUAUUGGGCAAUGGGCGCAAGCCUGACCCAGCAACGCCGCGUGAAGGAAGAAGGCUUUCGGGUUGUAAACUUCUUUUAAGAGGGAAGAGCAGAAGACGGUACCUCUAGAAUAAGCCACGGCUAACUACGUGCCAGCAGCCGCGGUAAUACGUAGGUGGCAAGCGUUGUCCGGAUUUACUGGGUGUAAAGGGCGUGCAGCCGGGUCUGCAAGUCAGAUGUGAAAUCCAUGGGCUCAACCCAUGAACUGCAUUUGAAACUGUAGAUCUUGAGUGUCGGAGGGGCAAUCGGAAUUCCUAGUGUAGCGGUGAAAUGCGUAGAUAUUAGGAGGAACACCAGUGGCGAAGGCGGAUUGCUGGACGAUAACUGACGGUGAGGCGCGAAAGUGUGGGGAGCAAACAGGAUUAGAUACCCUGGUAG